AGUAAUGCUUGGGAACUUGCCUUUGCGAGGGGGAUAACAGUUGGAAACGACUGCUAAUACCGCAUAAUGUCUUCGGACCAAACGGGGCUUCUGCUCCGGCGCAAAGAGAGGCCCAAGUGAGAUUAGCUAGUUGGUAAGGUAACGGCUUACCAAGGCGACGAUCUCUAGCUGUUCUGAGAGGAAGAUCAGCCACACUGGGACUGAGACACGGCCCAGACUCCUACGGGAGGCAGCAGUGGGGAAUAUUGCACAAUGGGGGAAACCCUGAUGCAGCCAUGCCGCGUGUGUGAAGAAGGCCUUCGGGUUGUAAAGCACUUUCAGUUGUGAGGAAAAGUUAGUAGUUAAUACCUGCUAGCCGUGACGUUAACAACAGAAGAAGCACCGGCUAACUCCGUGCCAGCAGCCGCGGUAAUACGGAGGGUGCGAGCGUUAAUCGGAAUUACUGGGCGUAAAGCGCACGCAGGCGGUUUGUUUAGCUAGAUGUGAAAGCCCCGGGCUCAACCUGGGAUGGUCAUUUAGAACUGGCAGACUAUAAUCUUGGAGAGGGGAGUGGAAUUCCCNGUGNAGCGGUGAAA
rnacentral:rRNA from 1 species